GCGACUAUAGUUUAGUGGCAAAACUCAGGUUUGUGGAUCCUGUGUCGAGAGUUCGAUUCUCUCUAGUCGCCCA
rnacentral:tRNA from 1 species